UGUUAAGCAAAUAAAAGCACCAGGUCGGCCAUGCUACUAUUUCCACCCCGGCAUGAAUCACCUCAGCCAAAUGGUACGAGCAGAACAGGGGGUAACAUGAGCCGAUCAGAGACGAAUACUGACCAGAGCCAUAUACCGAGCCGGUACCCGUCCCCCAAAAAGCGGAAACACGAUCUCACAGAAUCACGGUAGUUGCGCUUUCCCAGAACCGUUGCGGGAGACGCGAGAUCCCACGUUUGCCCAUAGUGCAGCAGUUAGAGUCCCAUGAGAGGCUACCACUACCCAAAAAAGGUGGGAUGAAGGGCAAACGGGAACGUGGGGACAGCGGCUAUAAAAAGAAGAAGAAAUCAAUGAAGAGGGGGAUAGAAAAACUGAGAGAGGGAAAACGCUGCCAAAUUGAAACCAAGCAAUUUUAUUACAAACUUCGAGCAAAUUAGAACCACUCUUGAAUCAAAAUUUAACUGUUUUCUCGUAAACACCUUGUGUUAACUUAGGCAUCGGAGGGUUUACGCCGGCAAAACCACCGGCGUCUCUAAUCUGUUUUUGGUGAACGCAGGUCUAGUAAGGAAAAGGAGAGUGAUUCCAACCCCAGUGGUUCGAGCAGCAGUGGAUAUUAUAAACGUUGGUGAAAGAAUCUGAUCGGUCCAAAGGCGAGCAGAUUUCAGCAUCAACAUUUUGGCGCCGUCUGUGGGGAGCUGGAUAAAAAGCUACCACCGAAUUAGGAAUUACCGGAGAAACAGCGAACGGUUAGACAUGGAUGUGACGAGGAAGGACGCUUUGAGGGAGGAUAACGAAGCUGGGGAGACAAUCACUCUUCGGGAAAUUGCAAAUGAAGCCCAGGAGAGGGUGAUGCAAGAUCGAUUAGAACGGAUGGAGAGACAAAUUUAGACUCUCACGACCAUACUAUACGAGCUGAGGGAUGAACGGAGAAGAGAUUGUGAAACCCCCGUGGGGAGAGAUGUUGUUGGAGCGGAACCUAGCCUCCGGAGGCGUAGGGUUGAGGAAAUCCCUCCGCUGGCAGACCAACCUAAUGGGGUGCAUCCCCACAGAAGCACUAGCCGGGUUCCAGGAGAACGAGUAGAUGAAGGAAGGGACCAACUUCUCCCCGGACGGGUAUUGGAAGUCAAUAGCCGAGGGGCCAGUGCUGACGAAGGAGACCUCAGACAGCGGUUGCAUAAUGCCGAGCUGGAACGAGACCAGAUAGCUGCACGUGACCCUGGCCGUGCCAUUGAAUUGGAGGGGGAGGUGCGCAGAUUGGCGCAGGUGAUGGAGGAGAUACAGGGCAAGAGAAAGCCCCCGAGCUGGAGGAUAAUGCUAGAUGAAGAGUCUCCGUUAUCAACCGAGAUCAUGGGUACCGUAAUCCAAAAAGACUUCCGCUUCCCCGACCUCAAAUACUCCGGACAAAGUGACCCGCUGGUGCACAUCGAGCGUUUCAACGACAUGACGGGUGUGCAGGGGCUGACACCGGCUCAAAGGUGCAGGGUGUUCCCAUUGACACUGGAGGGACGAGCCCGAGAAUGGUAUCGCAAGUUGCCCCGAGGAAAUAUAAAGGGGUACGAGCAGAUGUGCCAGGAGUUGGCCGAACAGUUCCGAGGAGCAGUAGCUCCAGAAGACGACAUGAUGGAACUGAUGGGGAUAAAAUAGGAGGAGCAUGAGUCCCUACGGGAUUUUGUAAAGCGAUACCACCGAGCCGUACUUGAUUUGGGAGCUUUCAAUCACCCGCAGGCGUUGAGGGGAUUAAAGGAGGGUGUGAGGAUAGGCCGGCUAUGGUAUAACCUGAGAAGCCCCCUAGUGCAGAGUUAUUCAGCAGGGUAUGAGCAGGCAAAGAGAGACAUCGAAAUCGAAGAAGAAAAAUCGGCAAGGAUAAAGAGUGAACAGCUGAAGGAGCUGAGACGAAAGGAAAGGAGAGCUCCAAGUGGGAGUGGGUCGGGAAAGCGAGUUGGGGAAUCCUCAGUAAGGAGCGGCACAUCAGCUCGGUCCCGCCCUUACCCCAUAGCUCCGAGAUCACAACAGUUCCAGCACGACCGGGCUCAACCUCCGCGUCCCCCAUUCCUGGAUCGGCAGCGAGAAUUCCGGCAGAUGGCUGCCGGCCCCUAUCACAACACUCCCAGAGCAUUACAUGCAACCAAUUCCAGGGCUAGACGACCAGAUCAGUCAGCGACUAUGCCAGCCCGAGGUGACGUUCAUGAUAGCCGAGCAGUUCAGCUGGUAGACCAGAGCUUGGCAUAUAGACAAUACACUCCAUUAAAGAUCUCCAUGGAGGAAUUGUAUGAGAGGAUCGAGGGACGAGGCCUGCUGUACCCUCCAGCCCCAAUAACAAAACCAACUCAUCGACGGGAUAAGAGCAGAUUCUGCAAGUUCCACGACACUCACGGUCACACUAUCAGCCAAUGUCGGGACCUGAAAAUUCAGGUGGAGGAUUUAGUGAGGAACCGUUACUUGGACGAGUAUGUAGAUGGAGUGUCCCCUAUCAUGGAAUCACAGUACACACAUGAUGAAGGAGUUGAGAGGGAUCUGGAACGUGAACAGCCGACCAUCCGUAUGAUAGCAGGAGGGCCAACAUUGGCCAGGGACUCGAACAGAGCACGGAAGAACUAUGGGAGAUACGCCAUGACUGGCAAAGAGGUGCUUUUAAAUUUGCCAGCGGCCAAGAAGGUAAGAGUACGGCAAGUUCCCAUUAUGUGGACGGAGGAUGACGAAAAGGGCAUUAUAUAUCCUCACGAGGAUGCACUGGUGAUUAAGGCAUUGGUGGCUGGUACAGAAUUGCGGCGAAUAUUGGUAGACACGGGCAGCUCAGUAGACAUUCUGUUUAAGUCGACCCUAGAUGAUAUGGGGAUUUCAGACUUGAAGCUGGAGCGGACAAAUACAUCCUUGAAGGGGUUUGGAGGGGGACGAUUAACUCCCAUGGGGGUCAUUGAACUCCCGAUUACUGUGGGGACAAAGCCAUUUAAAAGAACGAUGAUGCUGGACUUUGUCGUGGUAGAGGAAAGAAGUCCUUACCAGAUGAUAUUGGGGAGACCGUUUAUGAGAAUAAGCCAAUGCGUAAUGUCCUCGCAUUAUCUGGCACUAAAGUACAGAAUAAAUGGAGUUGUGGGUGUAGUAAAGGGCGACCAGAGAAUGGCCAGGAGCUGUUAUGCUACAGCGGCCAAGGAAACACUGUUUAUUUGGAAGAACAUCAUCUGCCAAUAUGGGAUCCCCUAUGCCAUCAUUACAGACAAUGGGAGACAGUUUGACAACAGCAACUUCAGAGAGUUUUGCCGAAAUUUCGGGGUGGACCUGAAGUUCUGCACCCCCGCACACCCCCAGGCAAACGGACAAGUGGAAGCAGCCAACAAAGUAAUAAAGAAGCUCUUGAAAACCAGAUUGGGAGAGAAGAAGGGAGCUUGGGUUGACGAGCUACCAGGGGUAUUGUGGGCUUACCGGACAACUCACAAAACUGCUACAGGGGAAACCCCGUUCGCUUUAGCUUUUGGUCAUGAGGCAGUAGUCCCAGCAGAGAUUGGAGUGGGGACACAUCGAACGGAAUAUUUCGCUGAGGAAGAAAAUGACGAGCAGAUCUGCCUAAGCCUGGACCUACUUGAGGAGAAAAGGGAAGAGGCCUCACAGAAAGUGGCCCAGUGUCAGCAAAGGGUCACGCGUUAUUACAACAAGAAUGUACGCGUGAGGCAGUUCCGAGCAGGAGAUUGGGUACUUAGGAAGGUGAAUCAAAAUACUAGGGAUCCCAACCAUGGUGCUCUUGGCCCAAAAUGGGAAGGCCCGUAUAGAGUAAUACGAGCCACGGGACCAGGAGCUUAUAAGUUAGCAUACCCAGAUGGGCGAGACGUGAAGAGGUCGUGGAACGCCGAGCACUUAAAGAAGUAUUUCCAGUAAGCAAAAUACUCUACUAAAUCUUCAAUUUGAUAAGUUAUAUUUGUCAAAUGCAUGGUGGCUUGGUGCACAUGCAUAUAUUUUGUAUUUUUGUAACGCAUUCAAAUUUCAAUAAAGAUGAAUUCAGUAUGAAAUCCCCCGGCUAAUAAGCCCACAAAAAUCUUACUAAGGCAAGUAAGUGCCUACUUCUGCUCGGUCAACGAAAGACCAGCAGCUAAAUCUACGAAGGUUUUACUAAGGCAAGUAAGUGUCUACUUCUGCUCGGUCAACGAAAGACCAGCAGCUAAUUCUACAAAAAAUCUUACUAAGGCAAGUAAGUGCCUACUUCUGCUCGGUCAACGAAAGACCAGCAGCUAAAUCUACGAAGAUUCUACUAAGGCAAGUAAGUGUCUACUUCUGCUCGGUCAACGAAAGACCAGCAGCUAAUUCUACAAAAAAUCCUACUAAGGCAAGUAAGUGCUUAGUUCGGCUCGGUCAAUGAAGACAAGCAACCAGUUUUAUGGAAAUCUUACUAAGGCAAGUAAGUGCCCACUUCUGCUCAGUCAACGAAAGACCAGCAGCUAAAUUUACGAAGAUUCUACUAAGGCAAGUAAGUGCCUACUUCUGCUCUGUCAACGAAAGACCAGCAGCUAAUUCUACAAAAAAUCUUACUAAGGCAAGUAAGUGCCUACUUCUGCUCGGUCAACGAAAGACCAGCAGUUAAAUCUACGAAGAUUCUACUAAGGCAAGUAAGUGCCUAUUUCUGCUCGGUCAACGAAAGACCAGCAGCUAAUUCUACAAAAAAUCCUACUAAGGCAAGUAAGUGCCUAGUUCGGCUCGAUCAAUGAAGAUAAGCAACCAGUUUUAUGGAAAUUUUACUAAGGCAAGUAAAUGCCUACUCCUGCUCAGUCCGCUAAGGAACCAGUAGGCAAAAUCAAAUAAGUUGUCCAAUUAUUUUUCAGAAACAAUCUAUGAGCAAAAACCGGACAAGAAAGCAAAUAAAGAGCAUCUAAAAAUUUAUAAAUGUUCAAUUGUUUACAAAACAAAUGCAAAUCUAGAGUUUAUACAAAAAUAGGCUCAAAGCUUAGCAGAGUCAACGGCUCCAGCAGCUGAAGGAUCAGCGAGCUCGGAAAGCAAGGGAUCAGCAACAUUAGGAGGUGGGAGAUCAGCAAUGCCAGGAGGAGGAGGCAUGGACCCUUGACCCACUUCGAAAGGGCGUCCCCCAGCUUCCCCCUCUUGCACCCCAUCCAAAGGAGCCUCCACCUGAUCUUGCUCACCCUGCUCCUUGUCCGCCUGGUCGACCUCUGCCAUAUACCGCUGCACUCCAGCCUCCAACUUGCUCAUGUCCAGCUCGGGAUAUUCUCCCUGAAGCACAGACAUGAUACACUUAUAGGAGAAAACAACCCCCGAGUCAUACUCGGCAUCCAACCGAUCGUCCACAUCAGCGGAUUUGCCUUUCUCCUCAGCCAGCUGCUCAUUCAGGGAUUUGAUUUCUCCCUCAAGGGCGGUCCUCAAAGUAUCUCUUUCACUUUGAGUUACCUGAAGGUCCGACUUCAGGCCAUCCAACUCACCCUCAAACCUGGAGGCAGUAGACUCUGCAACUGCAACUUUCUCCUCCAGCUCCGUAAUCUGCUUGUUCAGCUCGGCUAGUUUCUCCUUGGAGCGGUCAACAGAUUCAGCUUUCUUUUUCAACUCCUGAUUGUCAGCUUGAAGCUUCUUCUCAUGACGCGCGGACCCGGUCUUGUAGCACGAGACCAUUGUGGACAGCCUGAAGGAGACUCUCUGAACAGAAGCAGCUAACUCGGAGAGGCUCAUGCUCUCGAUGUCCUUCACCAUCUUGGGCCCAACCGAUUUUUUAUAAUCCUUCUGAUAUGGGCUCAGGUAGUCACCUUGAUCCCGAGAUGGAAAAGGAGAAGAUCGGUCCCCAGACUGCAAGCUGACCUCAGGACUCUUGUCGUAGGUUUUCUCCCCACCACUCUUACGAAGUGGAGGAGGGGGCAGAGCAGGAACAGGCGCCUUGGAAGGACCGACGCUGGGUUUCUUUGGAGGAGGGGGAAGGUUGCUGGAGCUACUCGGAGCCCGACCACGCUUCCUGCUCAUCGCGCUGAGGAUCUUGUUAUCCAUUCCAGCGGCUAUGUCCACUAGGCCCGAACCGACCAGGUUUGUUGGCGACAGGAGGUCUUGGCAGGUAGACGCGUUCAACAGAGCAGUUUCCACCUGAAGCAAAGGUCGAUCUUCAAGCCCCCCGAUCAAACCCCACGACUCUGAAAUAGCAAAAGAGGUUAAAGAACUCGAUAAGUGACAAUUUGAGAAAGAAUAUAGGCAAAAAAUGAACGACCUGGGGUGACAAACUGCGUUGGAAGGUAAAUAUCACCACCCAACGAACGGAGUGCUGAACACCACUUUCCCCCAGCAAAGAAGAAUUUGUUCUUCCAAUUUUUGCACGAGGAGGGGAAACCAGUAAUUGGCUUUCUCUUUGCGGAACUAGACAUGAAGUAAUACUAGCCCGCCUCCCUUGGGCUGCUCCGCAGCUGAUACAGAUGUUUCACUUCAACAAGGGAAGGCUCCUCCGACCCGCACCUCUCCCACAACACAAACAUUGCCGAGAGAACCCUCCACCCGUUCGGGUGUAGCUGACCUGGGGCCAGGUGCAUACCCCCCAAUAUUUUGGCAAAAUAACGCUGAAGGGGCAGCCGAGCUCCUAGUUUGAAACUCUCUAGGUGCAUUGUCACAUACCCCCGUGGAGGCCGACUAGGAACGUCACCCUUCCCAGGAACUACAAGGAGAACCUCCUCAGGAAUGUCGUAGAGGUUCCUAAGUUUGAAUAAGUCAGUUUGGGUGGUGGCACAGGCUAUGUAAUCAAUAGGGUAGGAAUCAGCCUCCACCCUAUGGCCAAGAUUCCUUUUCUUAGCAGGACCGCUCGGUCCGGAACUGCUCCCCUCACCAUCGCCGACUCCUUCAAGGAUCCCAACCCCACCAGAGCUGUGGUUCUCACCAGAUCCCGACGCAGGUCCACCUCUAUUCCCUACAAGCUCUAGUUCGGGAGAGGAAGAGACAACCAAGGGGCGUGGGUACUCAAGGGUAUCCCUGCCAUGGGAAGGACCUACAUUACUGGAGGGACCUAAGAAAUCGGUGGGUAUUGACACGUUGAGACUUGAAUCCCCUGAUUCUUCAUCAUCCUCAUCAACAAUUAAUUUUCUUUUUCGGUUUGACAUAUCGGAACCUCAAAAGAAAACAAAGAAAACUCGAGUAUAUGGACACAAAAAGGGCAACACAGAACCCAAUCAACAACAACCAGAGGAGAAGUUAAAGGCAAUACCUGGAUUGAACUGGCACUGAUAGCGCGACCGUGAUAGAGAAAAAAUCCAGCGAGUGGAUGCUCCAGAUACGAGAAGUGUAAGUGUAAGCAAAGUUCAGAGAGGGAGUUAGUUAACGACGAAAAGAUGAAUAACAAAGCGAUGAAGGCAUAAGUCUAGGGAUUUGAAACAAAAAGGGGGAAAUGAAAGCAUUUAAGUGAUAGAGACGCCAGCUCACUCACCGUACAUCAAGGACAGAUAGCCCGUCGUUUCAAAUUUCAAAUACGAAGAGUCGGGAGAUGCCACGUCACCAAUCGUUAUAAGAGGCCAGGCUAGAUGCAAGCCCAGAUACGCAAUGGACAUACUUAUUUAGGCCCAUGCUCAGGUCAAAAUCUCCCCUGAAGAAAAAUGAUACCUCAAGUCCAUCCCGGUAGACGGAAGACCAGAGGAGAAGCCCCCGGAUUGGUAAGAUUUGACUAUCAGUUUCUACUCUUGACUCAUUUCACUCACAAGACCAGAAACUGGGGGACUGGUGUUAAGCAAAUAAAAGCACCAGGUCGGCCAUGCUACUAUUUCCACCCCAGCAUGAAUCACCUCAGCCAAAUGGUACGAGCAGAACAGGGGGUAACAUGAGCCGAUCAGAGACGAAUACUGACCAGAGCCAUAUACCGAGCCGGUACCCGUCCCCCAAAAAGCGGAAACACGAUCUCACAGAAUCACGGUAGUUGCGCUUUCCCAGAACCGUUGCGGGAGACGCGAGAUCCCACGUUUGCCCAUAGUGCAGCAGUUAGAGUCCCAUGAGAGGCUACCACUACCCGAAAAAGGUGGGAUGAAGGGCAAACGGGAACGUGGGGACAGCGGCUAUAAA
rnacentral:lncRNA from 1 species